AUUGAACGCUGGCGGCAGGCCUAACACAUGCAAGUCGAGCGAGCGGCGGACGGGCGAGUAAUGUAUGGGGACUGCCCGAUAGAGGGGGAUAACCACCGGCAACGGUGGCUAAUACCGUAUACCAUCGGUUAACCCAUAUGGGACUAGCUAGUAAGUGGGGUAAAGGCUCACCUAGGCGACGAUCUCUAGUUGGUCUGAGAGGAUGAUCAGCCACACUGAGACUGAGACACAACCCAGACUCCAACGGGGGCAGAAAUGGGGAAUAUUGCACAAUGGGCGCAAACCUAAUGCAGCCAUGCCGAGUGUAUAAAGAAGGCCUUAGGGUUGUAGAGUACUUUCAGCGAGGAGGCGUUACCCACAGAAAAAGGACCGGCUAACAACGUGCCAGCAGCCGCGGUAAUAC
rnacentral:rRNA from 1 species